AACUAAGUUUGUUCUGGGUAUAAGCUUUCGUGUGCAUGCACACUUCUUCAGAUAUCUGAAGAAGAUAUUCGUCUGAAGAAGUGUGCCUGCACAUGAAUGCUUAUACCCAGAACAAACUUAGUUGG